rnacentral:sRNA from 1 species
CGAUCCCUCAGCCAGGCAUGGAGAUCUCCUGCCCCGGUGCGCGGUGCCCGGUGCAAGAGCAGCGUGCCCGCUGGGAGCGGAAACGCGCCUGCACCGCCCGGGAGCUGCUGGAGACCGAGCGGCGCUACCAAGAACAGCUGGGGCUGGUGGCCACGGGAGCUGCUUCCCUACCUGGAAGGAGGAUGCUGGGGCCAAGGGCUGGAGGGCUUCUGCCGCCACUUGGAGCUCUAUAACCAGUUUGCUGCCAACUCAGAGAGGUCCCAGACCACCCUGCAGGAGCAGCUAAAGAAAAAUAAAGGUUUCCGGAGGUUUGUACGGCUUCAGGAAGGCCGCCCUGAGUUUGGGGGCCUUCAGCUCCAGGACCUGCUCCCUCUGCCUCUUCAGCGGCUCCAGCAGUAUGAGAAUCUCGUCGUUGCUUUGGCUGAAAAUACAGGUCCCAACAGCCCUGACCAUCAACAGCUCACACGGCGCUGGUUCCUACGCCAAGGCUGGCUGUUGGUGGUGCCUCCCCAUGGGGAGCCUCGGCCCCGCAUGUUCUUCCUCUUCACUGAUGUGCUCCUCAUGGCCAAGCCUCGACCUCCACUGCACCUGCUGCGGAGUGGCACCUUUGCCUGCAAGGCCCUCUACCCCAUGGCCCAGUGUCAUCUCAGCAGGGUCUUUGGCCACUCAGGAGGCCCUUGUGGUGGGUUGCUCAGUCUGUCCUUCCCUCAUGAGAAGCUACUGCUUAUGUCCACAGACCAGGAGGAGCUGUCACGCUGGUACCACAGUCUGACUUGGGCUAUCAGCAGCCAGAAAAACUAGAGGAAUCUUAUAGAUUCCAGAACUCAGGAUACCUCAGGGAUAGGUCACAGCCAAGAGUACAAAGGAAUCUUCAGUACUGAACGAAACAGAACCCUUCAUGAUUUGACAAAGUUCACUUUGUGUUUGCCUGGACCAAGCUACUCCAGAUCAUCUGACCACCUCUUAAAAAUCACGGCCAGGCACAGUGGCUCAUGCCUGUAAUCCCAGCACUUUGGGAAGCAGAGGUGGCAGGAUCGUUCGAGCCCAGGAGUUCAAGACCAGCCUGGGCAACACAGUGAGUGAGACCCUGUCUCUAUUUAAGAAAAAAUAAUUAAGAAAUUUUAUUAAACAAGAAGAAUCAGGAAACCAAGUCUGACCCAACUGAACCAGCCCCUAACACAGAUGAGGGGAUUUGGGACUGAUAAGCUCUGUGCUGUGUCCAUGGCCCGUCAUUUAUCAAGGUUGCAGCUUUGUAAAU